rnacentral:rRNA from 1 species
UACGUAGGGGGCAAGCGUUGUCCGGAAUUAUUGGGCGUAAAGAGCGUGUAGGCGGUCCGGUAAGUCAGCUGUGAAAGUCAAGGGCUCAACCCUUGAAUGCCGGUUGAUACUGUCGGGCUAGAGUCCGGAAGAGGCGAGUGGAAUUCCCGGUGUAGCGGUGAAAUGCGCAGAUAUCGGGAGGAACACCCGUGGCGAAAGCGGCUCUCUGGGACGGUACUGACGCUGAGACGCGAAAGCGUGGGGAGCAAACAGG